rnacentral:rRNA from 1 species
CCAGACUCCUACGGGAGGCAGCAGUAGGGAAUCUUCGGCAAUGGGGGCAACCCUGACCGAGCAACGCCGCGUGAGUGAAGAAGGUUUUCGGAUCGUAAAGCUCUGUUGUAAGAGAAGAACGUGUGUGAGAGUGGAAAGUUCACACAGUGACGGUAACUUACCAGAAAGGGACGGCUAACUACGUGCCAGCAGCCGCGGUAAUACGUAGGUCCCGAGCGUUAUCCGGAUUUAUUGGGUUUAAAGGGUGCGUAGGCGGCGCUUCAGGUCAGCGGUGAAAUACCGGGGCUCAACCCCGGGGCUGCCGUUGAAACCGGAGCGCUAGAAUUCCGAUGCCGUCGGAGGAAUGUGUGGUGUAGCGGUGAAAUGCAUAGAUAUCACACAGAACACCGAUUGCGAAGGCAUCUGACGAAUCGGAGAUUGACGCUGAUGCACGAAAGCGUGGGUAUCGAACAGGAUUAGAUACCCUCGUAU